GAGGAAACAAAGUUCAGAAACGUCUCUGUAGCAGCAAUUUUCAGGCUACUUGGGCGACUUGGCCAUAAUGGCCUUAAGGAGAACGUGGCAGCAUCAGUGGAGGAUCUGGUGAAAAGCAUAACUGAGUUCAGGGGACAAAAAGAUUUGCCGUGGGAGCUGCAGUUCGCAGUGGUUUAUGCCACUCAUGAUCUGGCACCCAGCAGCCCCAAAGUCGCUCUGAACGCUUCAGAAUCGUGAAAGAAAGACCUCACAAAGCCGUUCCUCCAGCCGUCCCCAAGUGCCUGAAGCAGAUCAGCUUUCUCUGUUCUCACCUAAAGUCAAGAAAAAUUAUUACAUUAAAAAAUG